rnacentral:rRNA from 1 species
UGGCGGACUGGUGAGUAACGCGUGAGGAACCUGCCUUUCGGAGGGGGAUAACACUUAGAAAUAGGUGCUAAAACCGCAUAAGCGCACAGCUUCGCAUGAAGCGGUGUGAAAAACUCCGGUGGUGUAAGAUGGACCCGCGUCUGAUUAGCUUGUUGGCGGGGUAACGGCCCACCAAGGCGACGAUCAGUAGCCGGCCUGAGAGGGCGGACGGCCACAUUGGGACUGAGACACGGCCCAGACUCCUACGGAAGGCAGCAG